CAGCAGACUGGAGGCUGUCAUUCAGGGGCGGUAGCCUU
rfam:Aeromonas diversa 2478-85 Contig 13, whole genome shotgun sequence.